UACGAAGGGGGCGAGCGUUGUUCGGAUUUACUGGGCGUAAAGGGCGCGUAGGCGGCGCGAGAAGUCGAGUGUGAAAGCCCCGGGCUCAACCUGGGAAUUGCGCUCGAUACUCUUGUGCUUGAGUUCGGGAGAGGAGCGUGGAAUUCCCAGUGUAGAGGUGAAAUUCGUAGAUAUUGGGAAGAACACCGGUGGCGAAGGCGGCGACUCGUAGACCGAGACUGACGCUGA
rnacentral:rRNA from 1 species